rnacentral:rRNA from 1 species
CGCGUAGGCGGACUUUUUAGUCAGGCGUGAAAGCCCCGGGCUCAACCCGGGAACUGCGUUUGAUACUGGAAGUCUAGAGUUCUGGAGAGGGUGGUGGAAUUCCCAGUGUAGAGGUGAAAUUCGUAGAUAUUGGGAAGAACACCGGUGGCGAAGGCGGCCACCUGGCCAGACACUGACGCUAAGGCGCGAAAGCGUGGGGAGCAAACAGGAUUAGAUACCCUGGUAGUC